AUACGUAGGGGGCAAGCGUUAUCCGGAUUUACUGGGUGUAAAGGGCGUGUAGGCGGUUUGGCAAGUCAGAAGUGAAAUUCCCGGGCUUAACUUGGGCGCUGCUUCUGAAACUGCUUAACUUGAGUGCUGGAGAGGAUAGUGGAAUUCCUAGUGUAGCGGUAAAAUGCGCAGAUAUUAGGAGGAACACCGGUGGCAAAGGCGGCUAUCUGGACAGUAACUGACGCUGAGGCGCGAAAGCACGGGGAGCAAACAGGAUUAGAUACCCUGGUAGUCCGUGCCGUAAACGAUGAAUACUAGGUGUAGGGGGUAUCGACUCCCUCUGUGCCGCAGUUAACACAUUAAGUAUUCCACCUGGGGAGUACGGCCGCAAGGUUGAAACUCAAAGGAAUUGACGGGG
rnacentral:rRNA from 1 species